GACGAAGGAUCCAAGCGUUGUCCGGAUUUACUGGGUUUAAAGGGUGCGUAGGCGGAAAAUUAAGUCAGUGGUGAAAGCCCGCAGCUCAACUGUGGAACUGCCAUUGAAACUGGUUUUCUUGAAUGUAGCUGAGGCAGAUGGAAUAUAACAUGUAGCGGUGAAAUGCUUAGAUAUGUUAUAGAACACCGAUUGCGAAGGCAGUCUGCUAAACUAUUAUUGACGCUGAGGCACGAAAGCGUGGGGAGCGAACAGGAUUAGAAACCCCGGUAGUCC
rnacentral:rRNA from 1 species